rnacentral:rRNA from 1 species
UACAGAGACGUCGAGCGUUGUUCGGAUUCAUUGGGCGUAAAGGGUGCGUAGGCGGUGAGGUAAGUUGGAUGUGAAAAUCUCAGGGCCUAACCCUGAAAGUGCAUCCAAAACUGCCUUGCUUGAGGACUGGAGGGGAGACUGGAAUUCUCGGUGUAAGCGGUGAAAUGCGCAGAUAUCGGGAAGAACACCCGUGGCUAAGGCGGCUCUCUAGUACGGUACUGACGCUGAGACGCGAAAGCGUGGGGAGCGAAACAGG